rnacentral:lncRNA from 1 species
GUUACAUUGGUACUGGUUAUUAACCGUACGUAUUUUCCUAUAUAUGUUUGUUGUCUUUAAUCAAAAUCAAAAGGUUCGUGUUUUUAAUUUUUGGUACACAAUUUUUUGAUUUCUUACUCGAAUGAGGUAAAAAAAAACAUCAGCAACACAAAUUGUUAUAAACGAAAAGAGAGUAAGCUAGACCCUCUGUAAUCAACAAAAUUCAUAAAACACAAUAAACGAAUAAGUAAAUAUGGAUGUGCAUACUGUAUAUGUUUUAGAAGUUUGGCUAAGUAAAGAUGUAAAGUUUUUUCCUAUGAUACUUGGACGAGAAACUUUUAACAAAGUUUAUUUACUGUUGUUGUAGUGUGUAGUUUUGGCCCAAUAUACUGGAAGACAACAUUAUGGUGCCGCCAUUUUCAGUCACAAAUUAAGUGCUAAUUAUGGAAUAUUGACUUUACAAAAUAACAUCAUUAGCCGAAUAAUAAUAAGUACAACAGUCUAAACCAUAUCAAACGGCAUGUCCAUUUACUAAUAAUUGUGGAGUUUACAAACUAAUAGGGACAGCCCACCACAGUGAAUAUAUAAUUACCACAAUUUAUUGAAGUAGGCUUGGCCACAUAUUCUCUAUAAUUAGAUACAAAUCAACCAUUUAUAAUGUUAGUGUUGGUUAUAAUAUGAUAUAUUCUCGAAGUGGCAAUACAAAUCAACUAUUUAUAAUGGUUAUUUCUGUUAGUGUUAGUUGUGUUGUGGAGAGUCACACUAUGACAGGAAUAUUCUAUUUGUAAUGAAAAAUUCCCACAUGUAAGCACUUUCAAAGGUCCAAAAUAAAAUAGAUUGAAGGUGUUAAUUAGUAACCCUUUUUUGUUCAAUGCCUAGUUAAGUUGGUGUAGUAGUUAUAGCCUUUUUUGCACUGCGAAACCUCCCCGAAUUAAGAAUUUUGUGCUACUCAUUGUUUGAUUAUGUUGUUUUUUACCCGUUUUGGCGAUGUUAUGCUCAGCUUUCAGUCCACUAAUCUUUAAAUACCUAUCCUUUGUAACUAAAUCUAAGCAAACAAAAAAAAACUAAAAUUGUCGUGUCGUAACUCGUAAAUGAAUUGUCCAUGUCGCUUCUUCUUGUGACAAGUGAAGUAGGGAAGAUUAAUCCAGAAACAAUCAAGAGAAAAUUCUUAGAGCCAACAUGCAUCAACAGUACUCCACCCUCCGCAGUCUGCAUCCGCCAGCGGAACCACAAAAUGAAGUGUUGUGAUGAAUAUUUCAUCAGCUACUUAGUAGUCUAAGUGUCUAACCAACCAACGACAUGCAUGUGAGAAUACGUACCUUUUUUUCCAAAAAGAGACACGGUUAGAGCAGGCGAUAUCAUCCAAAAGUAACAUAUAUAUCUUGCUUCAGUUUUUUUGUUGUUUUUGUUUUACUACCCGUUCG